GAGCGCGUAGCUCAGCCGGUAGAGCAUCUGACUUUUAAUCAGAGGGUCUCGGGUUCGAAUCCCGACGCGCUCACCA
rnacentral:tRNA from 1 species